rnacentral:rRNA from 1 species
CCUACGGGAGGCAGCAGUGAGGAAUAUUGGUCAAUGGACGAGAGUCUGAACCAGCCAAGUAGCGUGAAGGAUGACUGCCCUACGGGUUGUAAACCUCUUUUAUAUGGGAAUAAAAUGUUCCACGUGUGGGAUUUUGUAUGUACCAUAUGAAUAAGGAUCGGCUAACUCCGUGCCAGCAGCCGCGGUAAUACGGAGGAUCCGAGCGUUAUCCGGAUUUAUUGGGUUUAAAGGGAGCGUAGGUGGGUUGUUAAGUCAGUUGUGAAAGUUUGGGGCUCAACCGCAACAUUGCAGUUGAAACUGGCAGUCUUGAGUACAGUAGAGGUAGGCGGAAUGCGUGGUGUAGCGGUGAAAUGCUUAGAGAUCACGAAGAACUCCGAUUGCGAAGGCAGUUCACUGGACUGCAACUGACGCUGAGGCUCGAAAGUGUGGGUAUCAAACAGGAUUAGAUACCCGGGUAGUC